rnacentral:rRNA from 1 species
UACGUAGGGUGCAAGCGUUAAUCGGAAUUACUGGGCGUAAAGCGUGCGCAGGCGGUUUUGUAAGUCAGAUGUGAAAUCCCCGGGCUUAACCUGGGAACUGCGUUUGAAACUACAAGGCUAGAGUGUGGCAGAGGGGGGUGGAAUUCCACGUGUAGCAGCGAAAUGCGUAGAGAUGUGGAGGAACACCGAUGGCGAAGGCAGCCCCCUGGGUUAACACUGACGCUCAGGCACGAAAGCGUGGGGAGCAAACAGG